rnacentral:snRNA from 1 species
GCACUUGCAGCAGAACAUAUACUAAAGUUGGAACAAUACAGAGAAGAUAAGCAUGGCCCCUGCACAAAGAUGACAUACAAAUUUGUAAAAUGUUCCAUGUUUUG